UACGAAGGGGGCGAGCGUUGUUCGGAAUUACUGGGCGUAAAGGGCGCGCAGGCGGCCCUUGAAGUCAGGCGUGAAAGCCCCGGGCUCAACCUGGGAGGUGCGCUUGAUACUCGAGGGCUUGAGUGCGGGAGAGGAGAGUGGAAUUCCCAGUGUAGAGGUGAAAUUCGUAGAUAUUGGGAAGAACACCGGUGGCGAAGGCGGCUACUCUGGACC
rnacentral:rRNA from 1 species